rnacentral:misc_RNA from 1 species
GACCACAAAGCACAAUGAUGAUGAGCAAUAUGUCUGGGAGUCUCAAGCCGGUGGCUCUUUCACUGUUACCAGGGAUACAUCUGGUGAGAACCUUGGUAGGGGUACCAAGAUGGUCCUUUAUCUCAAGGAGGAUCAGCUUGAAUACCUUGAAGAACGUAGGCUCAAGGACCUGAUUAAGAAGCACUCUGAGUUCAUUAGCUAUCCUAUUUCUCUGUGGGUUGAGAAGACCAUAGAGAAGGAAAUUUCUGAUGAUGAGGAGGAAGAGGAGAAGAAAGAUGAGGAGGGAAAGGUAGAGGAGGUCGAUGAGGAAAAGGAGAAGGAAGAGAAGAAAGA